CCUAAUUUUUGCAACACCUUCUAACGGUUAAGCAUCCUUCUGAACCCACCAAUCACAACAACAGUUCGAGACCACAUAAACAGUGAAAUCGCAAACGAACAGAGAAACAGUUGAGGAAGAGGUUACCAAACAAACGGUGGGGAAGAACCAGGUCCAAAAACACCAGAUACAAAGAUCCAAGCAUGUUCAAAGACUCCUUAAUCAGCACCAACCAAAACCAAAAGCUCAACGAAUGGAUUUAAGAUUUAGAUCUAAAAUUGAAAGAACAAAAACAAAGCCAACUAAACAACCGAGAGACUAGAAGCAAACUACAACACGAAAGAAACAAAUAAACAAACAAACCUGGCCGACGGUGGCUUGGAGAGCCGGAACCGCCAGCCGGUGGCUUGGAGAGCCGGAACCGCCAGCCGGAAACACGAUUCAGAUCUGAGAUGUACUAGAGAGAAGACAGAGGGUUUUUAGAGAGAGAGAGAGAAGACCAACUAAUACUGAGCCAAAUGCAAAAUCUGAUAUACUGAAAUUAUAGAUAAUUUAUCCCCAAUUUUAACAAACGAUAUGUUCUUACGAUUUGAUGUUUAAAAAGUUACAAACCCAUGGCAUAUCUUCUCAUAACUAAACUAGAGCGAGACAUAAAAUGGUAAUCAGAAUCUAACAUAAAGUUUAGAUAACUACAUUCAUGCAUAGCUCAAGAAAUCAACUACGCAUAUGCAGCUACCUUCUGAAAUUAGAGAAGAAAAUGUUCAACAAUUGGUAACCAGGACCUAUCUUUCUAUUUUAGUAUAAGGCAGGAAACUAGAAUUUCCUUUGUUUUGCUUUUGAGAAUGAAGGGACUAAGGAUAACCUUUAGUGGACAAAUCCAUAAAUACCAGAACACAGUGGCACAAGUGGAACUCCUUGGAGAUAUCGAAGCUUAUUUACGAUGUUGAUUUACUCCACUAGCAGACAGUACAUUCCCGAACAGUAUGUUGGUGAUCUCAUCCCUGUUUUAGACUAUUUCAGAAAUAGAUUUGUAUGACCAGUAUAUGAACAUGCUUUAUUCCAAAUCAAUAUUCUCUCCUUCCCCAUGUAACAUACGUUCAAUUAUUAAUCCAGUCUAACACAUGAAUAAAAUCUUCACAAUUUUCUACGUGUGAUAGCAUCAAGAACAACCAAAUACACACUCUCACUGCCAUUUUUAAAAUACCUUAAAGUCCACGUUCUUCUGCUAUCAAAACAAAGGCCCAAACAAAUGCUAAACCAUUACUUAUAGCGUUAACGACAAAAUGAUGGGCCCUUCAAUAUCCGGCAUCACAUGAACAACAAAUCAAGUAGCUGUGUCUGUAAAUCCGUUGUGGAAAACUCAUACAAAACAUCGAAGCUCUACAACAUUCAAUAGUGUAAUAUGAGAUAUGUUAGUCGGAAUAUAAGGACCCCCGGCCUUAACCUCCUUUAUACUAUUCAACUCCAAACACAUCUAAAUAGACUUCAACAGAAGUCUACAAAAUGUAGACUGCCAACGAAGUCUAUAAAAGGUCAGUUUUGCAUCUGACCAAAACUUUGACUUCGUGGAAUAGGUUAGUUUUGUGUUUGACCAAAAAGUUUAAAAAGCAAUCAAAAAUUUAUUAAAUUGUAGACUUCAUAUGCAGUCUUCUUAUCUUAAAAAAAAUGUAGAUUGCAUAUAAAGUCUACUUUUUAUUUUGGUCAAUUGCAAAACCAACCCGUCGGAUUUGAGAGUAGACUCCACAAGAAGUCUACACACCCGUAGACGUUCAUUUCAAUCUACUGAUUUGAAGUCAAACUUGGUCAAUUGCCUUUCCAUUUAUUUGUCUGAAUGUUUUUUCAGGUAAACUACAUCUAUGCGCAUGCAACUUCCACUCUUGCUGGUGAUCUUGCUGAGAUCAAUGCCUUAAAAAAGGUGUUCAAAGCACUUCAGGGAUCAAAAUCAAUGCCACUAAGGUUCGUCCCCAACGCUCAAUUUUAUUUUUAAUGAUCUUCUCCUCUUCUAUUUCCUGUAUUGGUUUGUGAACGUUGAGAUUCGUCUCUUGCCUCUUUCAAUUUUACGAUUGCACAACAAACCUGAAAUAUGUUUUCCUAUCUGUUCAGAGUGUUGAUUGUUAUAGAAUUACUUAUAUGUUUAAUUUUUCACUCUCUCAUCACCAGGAGCAUUGAGAUCACACAAGUUCAAAGGUUGCAAAUGAAAGUUCAUAAAUAUCUCCAUGAGCAGUUUGAGGUAUUGAAUUCACCUGCAUAGCAGCUAAAGAAAUUAACCUUCUUCAUUGCUGAUUUCAAACCAGGAAGGGUAUGAAUUUUUGUUAGUGGUUUAAGCCUGGUUCAUGAAUUGUAGUUAACUUUUAUACCAAAACAUGUUGCAUAUAUGUUUCGGUUAAAGAAGAACCGGGUUAUAUUGUGGAAAAGGAUGCUGCAACCUACAAGUCUUCUAUCUUGAUUUUUAAUUUUUUAUGAGACUGAUAUGAUGGUCUCUUAGAGACAGUGCGUGUAUAAAUAUAGUUUCUCAUUACGUAUGAAGUAAGGUUUCUCAUUACGAAAAUCAUUUUUCAGAUUGUGUAUAAAGUAUAGUUCUUUACGUAAAUCAUUGUUUUUAGAUUCUCAUGUUUUGCCUUUCUUCUGCUUUUUGAUUUGAAUAAAGUCAAACUCAUAUGGUGAGAUUUUUUUUCCAUCGAAACAGAGAUUAUAUUAACUUGAUGGAAUACAUGAUUGGGACACAGAAGCCGGCAAGCCACAUAGCUUCCGGAGACUAAGCCAGCGGAUGAAAGAGCCAUCCCUGGAGACUUUAGCCGGCGAACAACAGACAUGUUCCCGGAACCAAAAGAAAAAACCUUAGAGCUAGGAUGAAACAAACUCAGAACAGAUCCAACAAUACAAUAACUGAACAAUGUUAAAACUGGAAGGGACAAAAAAGAGAAGAAGGAUAAAGUCAACAAAGAACAAACUUAUUAAUGGAGUUCAAGGCUACACUCUUUAUUAUGCUCCAAACGUCACCACAACAUACCACUUAAGAAGCAACGAGCACUUGACAUCUCCAAAGAAGACUCAUGGAAGAGGUCGGUAAACCUGACGCCUUCGACGAACUGAUGAUAAGGAGCCAAAGCCCCAAAACCUUCGAGACGAACCGGAUAUCUUACCUGCAAGCAAAUACCACAGAGGCCUAAUUUUUGCAACACCUUCUAACGGUUAAGCAUCCUUCUGAACCCACCAAUCACAACAACAGUUCGAGACCACAUAAACAGUGAAAUCGCAAACGAACAGAGAAACAGUUGAGGAAGAGGUUACCAAACAAACGGUGGGGAAGAACCAGGUCCAAAAACACCAGAUACAAAGAUCCAAGCAUGUUCAAAGACUCCUUAAUCAGCACCAACCAAAACCUAAAGCUCAACGAAUGGAUUUAAGAUUUAGAUCUAAAAUUGAAAGAACAAAAACAAAGCCAACUAAACAACCGAGAGACUAGAAGCAAACUACAACACGAAAGAAACAAAUAAACAAACAAACCUGG
rnacentral:lncRNA from 1 species